UUAAACAUGUAAUUCACACAUGGAAGGAUACAUGCUUUUGUUCUUCCAGUAUUAUUUCACCUAUGACUAGGCAUUGUUGUGCUGCACAAAAACAGUUAAUGGCUUCUUCCAGUAUUAUUUCUCCUACGACAAUAAUAUUUUUACUUUGAGAUAUGUUAACAUUUACUCUCAAUUGAGGGCUACACUUAUCCUCUAUUGUACUUCGUUCAGGCUUCAAAUUAUUGAACCUAAAAGUGUGUUUACUACAAUCUAAAUAUUACAUUAACUCAAGUAUAAUUUAGGUUCCCUCUUAAAACUUGCAAAUUUAAAAUCCCAGGGAAUAAAGAAAAAAUUUAUCCUACUGAAGUAAUGGAUGCAAAUAUCGAACUCGUGCUUGUCUUUUUAUUUGAAAACUAGAGCUAUCACUUGUUUUGCAAUCCCGACAGUCCUAGGAUUUGGCAUCCUAUGUCUGAACCCAUACAUGAUCCAAAAGCAUAAGACAAGGUCUAGGAAUGACAUAGCUUUUCACUUAUUCUUAAAUAGGAAAACAUCUUCCCCCUAUUGUUCAUUUGAGAUGCCCAACAAUUUCUCUGUUCUAAGCUAUAUUCCCGUUAAGUUGCAUUAUAUCCUUCUUUACAGUUUAUGCCAUAUGUCCAAAACUCCAAAUUAAUAAUUUCCAUUAUUUUCUUGGUUAUUGCAAUUUUCUUGUGUUAUCUACGUAUCUCCUCUUAUGCUGUUACAUCCAUUUUACUUUUCCUUCUCUUAGCAUAUCUAAAAUAUAGAUCGACUACAUGUUUGAACUAGAUUUACAGAUAAAAAAUCUCAAAGUGUACAACAUGCAAGCAUAACCCAAUUCAGGGUUAUCCUAUUUCAUUCCUCUUAGUUUAGUUGACUACAAAAGCCCUCAGUGUCUGUUGCCAAGUUGAGCUGAAACAUGCUUUCAGCUCAAUGGGUUAUUUCAACUUGAUUUCUUCUUUGGUGUGUUUGUUGUUAGCCACAUCAUAUGAUCUCUACUUUCUCAAAUCUGUAAAUGCUUCUUGUAGUGGAAUUUGAAUCAUUCCCCCCUCCCCCGAUGUGAAGCCCCGUAGCAAUAGUAGCUACAAACCCCAUACGAGAUCGAUUCAAAUCCAAGAAAGCCAAGAAUCAACAUUUGGAGUUUGAUCCAAAAAUAUUGAACCAAGGCACCAAUACAAUCAUUGAC
rnacentral:lncRNA from 1 species